CCUGCCCCUCUGCCAACAUCCUAUUGCCUCUGGGGAGGUCACAACAAACUUUUCUUGGGAUGAGGAAAUAAUGUCCCUGUGGACGGCAGUUGCCCGGCUUGAGGUUGACGCAGCUGUCGAAGUCAGCGCAAACCCGCGUGGUAAGGCAAAAAGGUCAAAGGUCAGCAGCAUUUAUACGGACAGAAAGAACAGGUGACAGAGAGUUCUGUAAUCUUCAAGGCUUCAGCGUCUGGAACUCUCUACGGGGCAACCGC